rnacentral:rRNA from 1 species
UACGGAGGGGGCUAGCGUUGUUCGGAAUUACUGGGCGUAAAGCGCACGUAGGCGGCUUUGUAAGUUAGAGGUGAAAGCCCGGGGCUCAACUCCGGAAUUGCCUUUAAAACUGCAUCGCUAGAAUUGUGGAGAGGUAAGUGGAAUUCCGAGUGUAGAGGUGAAAUUCGUAGAUAUUCGGAAGAACACCAGUGGCGAAGGCGACUUACUGGACACAUAUUGACGCUGAGGUGCGAAAGCGUGGGGAAGCAAACAGG